GCCUUCGUGGUGUAGUGACCAGCACGCUCGACGCGUAACCGAGAGGUCCGUGGUUCGAUUCCCGGCGAAGGCG
rfam:Stegodyphus mimosarum contig126827, whole genome shotgun sequence.